rnacentral:rRNA from 1 species
AAUGAACGUUGGCGGCGUGGAUUAGGCAUGCAAGUCGAGCGAGAACCCAGCAAUGGGGGACAGCGGCGCAAGGGACAGUAAUGUGUAGAUCAUCUGCCCUCAGGCCCGGGAUAGCUGCGGGAAACUGCAGGUAAUACCGGAUAACAUCUCCGGAUCAAAGGUGUGAUUCCGCCUGAGGAUGAGUCUACAUCCUAUUAGCUAGUUGGCAGGGUAACGGCCUACCAAGGCGAUGAUGGGUAGCGGGUGUGAGAGCACGACCCGCGUCAUUGGGACUGAGACACUGCCCAGACACCUACGGGUGGCUGCAGUCGAGAAUCUUCGGCAAUAGGCGCAAGCCUGACCGAGCGACGCCGCGUGCGGGAUGAAGGCCUUCGGGUUGUAAACCGCUGUCAGAGGGGAUGAAAUACAGGUGGGUUCUCCCAUCUGUUUGACAUAGCCUCAGAGGAAGGACGGGCUAAGUUCGUGCCAGCCGCCGCCGUAAGAC